AAUCAACGCUGGCGGCGUGCCUCAGACAUGCAAGUCGAACGCGAAAUCCCGAGCAAUCGGGAGAGUAGAGUGGCGCACGGGUGAGUAACACGUAGGUAAUCUACCUUCGGAUGGGGAAUAACAACCGGAAACGGUUGCUAAUACCGCAUAAUGCAGCGGCACCUAAUGGUGACAGUUGUUAAAGCGGGGGAUCGAAAGACCUCGCGUCUGAAGAGGAGCCUGCGGCGGAUUAGCUAGUUGGUAAGGUAAUGGCUUACCAAGGCGACGACCCGUAACCGGCCUGGAGAGGGCGGUCGGUCACACUGACACUGACAUACGGGUCAGACUCCUACGGGAGGCAGCAGUCGGGUAA
rnacentral:rRNA from 1 species